rnacentral:rRNA from 1 species
UUGGUUUCUCCUUUCUGACGAACCAUGAUGUCAUUAAUUUGGAGUUAGGACUGUUACUUUGAAAAAAUUAGAGUGUUUAAAGCAGGCAUUAGCUUGAAUACAUUAUCAUGGAAUAAUGAAAUAGGACGUUCGAUCCUAUUUUGUUGGUUUCUAGGAUCAACGUGCUGAUUAAUAGGGAUAGUUGGGGGCAUUUUUAUUCAAUUGUCCAAGGUGAAAUUCUUGGGUUUAUUGAUUACUAACUCCUGCCAAAGCUUUUGCCACGGAUGUUUUCUUUAAUCACUAACAAUUUUUAGGGGAUCGAAGACUAUCACAUACCGUCGUAGUAUUAACCUCAACCUAUGCCAACUACGGAUCAGAUGAUGUUAUUUUUUUAAUGACUCAUUCAGCUCCUUACC